UACGUAGGGUGCAAGCGUUAAUCGGAAUUACUGGGCGUAAAGCGUGCGCAGGCGGUCAUGCAAGACAGAUGUGAAAUCCCCGGGCUCAACCUGGGAACUGCAUUUGUGACUGCAUGGCUGGAGUGCGGCAGAGGGGGAUGGAAUUCCGCGUGUAGCAGUGAAAUGCGUAGAUAUGCGGAGGAACACCGGUGGCGAAGGCAAUCCCCUGGGCCUGCACUGACGCUCAUGCACGAAAGCGUGGGGAGCAAACAGG
rnacentral:rRNA from 1 species